CUUUUUCUCUUUUUGCCUUUUUCUAGGGCCACUCCUAUGGCACAUGGAGGUUCCCAGGCUAGGGGUCUAAUUAGUGCUGUAGCCGCUGGUCUACGCCAGAGCCACAGCAACGCAGGAUGCAACGCGUCUGUGACCUACACCACAGCUCACAGCAACGCUGGAUCCUUAACCCACUGAGCAAGGCCAGGGAUUGAACCCGCAACGUCAUGGUUCCUAGUCAGAUUCGUUAACCACUGAGCCACGAUGGGAACUCCUCCAUUGCUUUUUAAACACAUCUGAAUCCUUUGUGUUUCCCGCUCGCCCCCCCCCAAAAAAAGAACCAUCCCCUAAAUAGAUAUUGCUUCAGAGAAGACCUACAGAUGGCCAACAGGCACAUGAAAAGAUGCUCAUCAGAAUUCUCCUGUGGCACAGUGGGUUAAGGAUCUGGCAUUGUCACUGUAGUGGCUUGGAUCACUGCUGUGGCUUGGGUUUGAUCCCUGGCUUGGGAGCUUUUGUGUGCCAUAGGCACAGCCCCCCCCUCCCAAAAAAUGAUCAUCAUCACAAAUUAAUAGAGAAAUGAAAAACUACAGUGAGGUACACCUGAAAUUAACACAACUUUCUAAGUCAAUUGUACUCCAACAAAAUUUAUUUAAAAAAGAAAACUGCAGGAGUUCCCUUCAUGGCUCAGCAGUUCACGAACCAGACUAGGAUCCAUGAGGACGCAGGUUUGAUCCCUGGCUUUUCUCAGUUGGUUCUGGCAUUGCCGUGAGCUGUGGUGUAGGUUGAAGAUGCAGCUCGGAUCCCACGUUGCAAUGGCUGUGGCGUAGGCUGGUAGCCGUAGCUCUGAUUCAACUCCUAGCCUGGAAAUCUCCAUAUGCCGUAAGUGCAGCCCUGAAAAGCAAAUAAAAAAUAAAAUUUUUUUAAACUAAAAUGAGGUGCAAUCACACACUGGUCAGAAUGGCCAUCAUUAAAAAGUCCACAAAUAAUAAAUGCUGAAGAGGGUGAGGAUAAGAGGGAACUCUCUUACACUGUUGGUGAGAGUUUAAAUUGGUGCAGCCACUAUGGAAAACAGUAUAGAGGUGCCAUAUGAUCCAGCAGUCCCACUCCCGGGCAUAUAUCCAGACAAAACUAAUUCAAAAAGAGAUGUUCAUAGCAGCACUGUCUGCAAUAGCCCAGAUGUGGAAAUGUCCUAAAUGACCAUAAGAGGUGACAUUGGGUAAAGAAGACAUGGUGCAUCUAUACAAUGAAAUAUUACUCAGGAAUAAAAGGGAUGAAAUAAUGCCAUUUGUAGCAACAUAGAUAUACCUAGGGAUUAUCAUACUAAGCAAAUCAAGUCAGAAUGAGAAAGACAAAUAUAUGUUUUCAGAUAUAUAUGGAAUCUAAAAUAAGAUAAAGGAGUUAGUGGGUUAAGGACUAUUGUGACCUAGUGGGUUAAGGACCCAGUAUUAUCUCCCUAAGAAUACAGGUUCAAUCCCUGGCCUCGCUCAGUGGGUUAAGGAUCUGGCAUUGCCACAAGCUACAGUGUAGGUCACAGGUGCAGCUCAGAUCCAGUGUGGCUGUGGUGUAGGACAGCAGCUACAGCUCUGAUUCAACCCCUAGCCUAGAAACUUCCAUAUGCCGAAGGUGCAGCCAUAAAAUGGUACAAAUGAACAUAUCUGCAAAACAGUAACAGACUCAGAGACACAGAAAAGGGUCUGUGGUUGCCAUGGGGGAGGUUGGUGGGAGAGGGAAGAAUUGGCAGUUUAGGAUUAGCAGAUGCAAACAGUGUAUAUGGAAUGGAUAAACAACAGGGUUCUGCUGUAUAGCACAGGGAACUUUAUUCAAUACCCUGUGAUAACCAUAGUGGAAAAGAAUAUAAAAAUACAUAACUGAAUCACUUUUUUGUGCAGCAGAUGUUAACACGUUGUAACUCAAUGGUACUUCAAUAAAAUUUUUAAAACACCUUUUCUUGACCCUGCUUACUGCUCUCUCACAUCCCUCACUUAAGUCAAAUUUCCAGUAAGACUUGUCCCUAGAAACUCACUGGUUUCAUUCAUUCAGUUAGUCUAAUUUCUGUCUCCCUCAUAACAUCACCAAAACUUUCCCAAUGCAGUGGUUCAUCAACAUGUGCUGAUUCUCUAGGGGGGCCUUGGAAAUAGUCAAGUUUUGGUUUGGUUUGGUUUGGUUUGGUUUUCACUUACACUUUUGGUUAUAACUUGAGGAUGGGUGGAGCAGUGCUUUUGGUGUUUAGUUGUUGGAGAUCAAGAAUGCCUAACACAUUGCAGGGUGUAGGACAAUCCCUUUAACAAUUUUCCCACUCAAGGAGUUCCUGUCGUGGUUCAGCAGUAAUGAACGCAACUAGUAUCUGUGAGGAUGCAGGUUCAAUCCCUGGCCUCGCUCAGUGGCUUAAGGAUCCAGCAGCACCAUGAGCUGUAGUUUAGGUUGCAGACAUGGCUCAGAUGCCACGUUACCGUGGCUGUGGCAUAGGCUGUAGCUCUGAUUCAACCCCUAAGCCUGGGAACUUCCCUAUGCCAUGGGUGCAGCCCUAAUAACCCCCCGCAAAAAAGAAUUUGCCCACUCAAAAUGCUAAUAUCACCCCAUUGGAAAAUAAUCUUAAGCUCACAAAUGACUUCCACAGGAGUCCCUUGUGGUGCAGCAGAUUAAGGAUCUGGAGUUGUCACUGAGGCAGCCUGGGGUGCUGCUCUGGCAUGAGUUUGACCCCUGGCCUGUGAACUUUUUCAUGCUGCCAUCACAGCCCUUACCCCCACACCCCAAAAAAGUGGCUUCCAUGUACCUAUGUCGACUGAGCACUUUAAAUCUUUUUCCUGGGCUGCACCUGCAGCGUAUGGAGUUUCCCAUGCUAGGGGUUGAAUCAGAGCUACAGCUGCCGGCUUACACCACAGCCACAGCAACUCGGGAUCUGAGCCAUGUCUGCAACCUACACCCCAGCUCAUGGCAACACCAGAUCUUUAACCCACUGAGUGAGGCAACGGAUUGAACCCGAAACCUAAUGGUUCCUGGUCUCAUUUUUUUCUGCUGUGCCACGAUGGGAACUCCCAAACUGCAUUUCUGAUGUAGGUUUCCUGGUCCCAAAGGGAGCAGAAUGGAUCUUGUUCUUAAAGUAUUGUGGUAGUUUAUUUUCAGCUGCUUAGUGCUUCCCUGAAGAACUGGUGCAAAGGGCUUGCCCGAUUUUGUUUAACUUGGAACUUUCCCAAGGCAGAGGUGAUGGACAAUACAGGGAGCUUUCAUUUAAAAACAAACAAACAAACAAACAAAACAAAAACAAAAACUGCUGAGACCUGGAGAAAGAAAUAGAAAUAGCUGUUGGGGCAAACAAUAGACACACUAAAAUGCCAGGGGUGGGGGUGGCUGAAGAGUGAGAUAAUUUGCACACUAAAUCUUUUAAAAGCUCCCAUAUAUUUUGGGUACUGAAAGGAUACAUGCGUAUUCAGGGUGAGGUAGAUGCUCAGAAAAGAAGGGGCCCUGAACUCUCACCUCUGGCUAAUUUUCAGGCUCUGCUCAACAUAGGAAGAGAAAACUGACAUGGAUUUGUUAAUCACCCAGCUGAACGUGGAAGGCAUGCCCAAACACAUGCAGAGAACCCACUGGUAAAGGCUGAACGCUUUUUUUCCUUCAUUUUUGGUUCUAGGCAUUUAAGGAAAUUGCUGUUGAAUCACUAGCUGACUAUUCGGCUAACAAACCAGUCACUUGUGAUGGAACAUGAUGGAGGAUAAUGUGGGAAAAAGAAUAUAUAUAUGUGUGUGUGUGUGUACAUAUGUAUGACUGGGUCGCUUUGCUGUACAGCAAAAAAUGACCAUUAUAAAUCAACUGUAAUAGAAAAAAUAAAAAUUAAAAAAAAAACAGGAUUGCUACACUGUAACAGUCUAAAUGUCCAGUUUUCAACAACA
rnacentral:lncRNA from 1 species